rnacentral:rRNA from 1 species
UACGUAGGGUGCAAGCGUUUGUCCCGGAAUUAUUGGGCGUAAAGAGCUCGUAGGCGGUCUGUCGCGUCGGCUGUGAAAACUCGGGGCUCAACCCCGAGCCUGCAGUCGAUACGGGCAGACUAGAGUGCUGUAGGGGAGACUGGAAUUCCUGGUGUAGCGGUGAAAUGCGCAGAUAUCAGGAGGAACACCGGUGGCGAAGGCGGGUCUCGUGGGCAGGUGAACUG